CCUACGGGUGGCUGCAGUGAGGAAUAUUGGUCAAUGGGCGGGAGCCUGAACCAGCCAUGCCGCGUGAAGGCGAGUGCCCUACGGGCGUUAAACUUCUUUUGUGCGGGAGCAAUAAGGGCCACGCGUGGCCCGAUGAGAGUACCGCACGAAUAAGCAUCGGCUAACUCCGUGCCAGCAGCCGCGGUAAUACGGGGGAUGCGAGCGUUAUCCGGAUUUAUUGGGUGUAAAGGGUGCGUAGGCGGCGCUUCAGGUCAGCGGUGAAAUACCGGGGCUCAACCCCGGGGCUGCCGUUGAAACCGGGGCGAGAGAAUUCCGAUGCGGUCGGAGGAAUGUGUGGGGGAGCGGUGAAAGGCAUAGAUAGCACACAGAACACCGAUUGCGAAGGCAGCUGACGAAGCGGAGAUUGACGCUGAUGCACGAAAGCGUGGGUAUCGAACAGGAUUAGAUACCUUUGUAGUA
rnacentral:rRNA from 1 species